rnacentral:lncRNA from 1 species
ACCCCCAUCUCUUUCAUACAUUCAUCUUCUCCAACUACAAGUCCAUUUCCAAGCUUGAAGAUCAUUCGUAGAAGUUGCAAGUUGAAGGGCUCUCAAGAAAGCUUUGUUCAAGUCUUUAUCACCAUCUUUUCUCUUCAUCUUUGCACUAGAUUCAUCCCUAGCUUUAAGCUAGUAAUGGUCACUGUUGUCAUGAUGAUCCUCCAACUGGAAUUUCGUCAAUCGGACUUACGGUAGUCGUGUUUGCUGAGGAGAUUUGG